rnacentral:rRNA from 1 species
AGAGUUUGAUCCUGGCUCAGAUUGAACGCUGGCGGCAUGCCUAACACAUGCAAGUCGAACGUGAAAGAGGGGCAACUCUCGAGUAAAGUGGCGGACGGGUGAGUAAUACGUAGGAAUCUGCCCUAAAGUGGGGGAUAACCUGCCGAAAGGCGGGCUGAUACCGCAUAAUCUCUACGGAGAAAAGGUGUCUCGUACUUGUACGAGAUUUCGCUUUAGGAUGAGCCUACGUCGGAUUAGCUAGUUGGUAGGGUAAUGGCCUACCAAGGCAACAAUCCGUAGCUGGUCUGAGAGGACGAUCAGCCACACUGGAACUGAGACACGGUCCAGACUCCUACGGGAGGCAGCAGUGGGGAAUAUUGGACAAUGGGGGAAACCCUGAUCCAGCAAUGCCGCGUGUGCGAUGAAGGCCUGAGGGUUGUAAAGCACUUUCGUUGGGGAAGAAAUGCUCAAGUAUAAUACACUUGAGAGAUGACGUUACCCAAAGAAGAAGCACCGGCCAACUCCGUGCCAGCAGCCGCGGUAAUUC